rnacentral:rRNA from 1 species
AGUGGGGAAUAUUGCACAAUGGAGGNAACUCUGAUGCAGCAACGCCGCGUGGAGGAUGACACAUUUCGGUGCGUAAACUCCUUUUAUAUAAGAAGAUAAUGACGGUAUUAUAUGAAUAAGCUCCGGCUAACUCCGUGCCAGCAGCCGCGGUAAUACGGGGGGAGCAAGCGUUACUCGGAAUCACUGGGCGUAAAGAGCAUGUAGGCUGAUAGAUAAGUUGGAAGUGAAAUCCUGUGGCUUAACCAUAGAACUGCUUCCAAAACUGUCUAUCUAGAGUAUGGGAGAGGUAGAUGGAAUUUCUGGUGUAGGGGUAAAAUCCGUAGAGAUCAGAAGGAAUACCGAUUGCGAAGGCGAUCUACUGGAACAUUACUGACGCUCAGAUGCGAAAGCGUGGGGAGCAAACAGGAUUAGAUACCCUGGUAGUCCACGCCCUAAACGAUGCACACUAGUUGUUGCUAUACUAGAUAUGGCAGUAAUGCAGUUAACACAUUAAGUGUGCCGCCUGGGGAGUAC